UACGGAGGGUGCAAGCGUUGCUCGGAAUUAUUGGGCGUAAAGGGUAGGUAGGUGGUCUCAUUUGUCUGAGGUGAAAGCCUUGAGCUUAACUCAAGAAGUGCCUUAGAAACGGUGAGACUGGAGUCUUGGAGAGGGUCGUGGAAUUCCCGGUGUAGCGGUGAAAUGCGUAGAGAUCGGGAGGAACACCAGAGGCGAAAGCGGCGACCUGGACAAGUACUGACACUCAACUACGAAAGCGUGGGGAGCAAACAGG
rnacentral:rRNA from 1 species